AGAGUUUGAUCCUGGCUCAGAACGAACGCUGGCGGCAGGCCUAACACAUGCAAGUCGAGCGCGCCCUUCGGGGUGAGCGGCGGACGGGUUAGUAACGCGUGGGAAUAUGCCCAAAGGUACGGAAUAGCCUCUGGAAACGGAGAGUAAUACCGUAUGUGCCCUUCGGGGGAAAGAUUUAUCGCCUUUGGAUUAGCCCGCGUUAGAUUAGGUAGUUGGUGGGGUAAUGGCCUACCAAGCCUACGAUCUAUAGCUGGUUUUAGAGGAUGAUCAGCAACACUGGGACUGAGACACGGCCCAGACUCCUACGGGAGGCAGCAGUGGGGAAUCUUGGACAAUGGGGGCAACCCUGAUCCAGCCAUGCCGCGUGAGUGAUGAAGGCCUUAGGGUCGUAAAGCUCUUUCGCCUGUGAAGAUAAUGACGGUAGCAGGUAAAGAAACCCCGGCUAACUCCGUGCCAGCAGCCGCGGUAAUACGGAGGGGGUCAGCGUUGUUCGGAAUUACUGGGCGUAAAGCGCACGUAGGCGGAUCGGAAAGUUGGGGGUGAAAUCCCGGGGCUCAACCCCGGAACUGCCUCCAAAACUAUCGGUCUAGAGUUCGAGAGAGGUGAGUGGAAUUCCGAGUGUAGAGGUGAAAUUCGUAGAUAUUCGGAGGAACACCAGUGGCGAAGGC
rnacentral:rRNA from 1 species